rnacentral:rRNA from 1 species
AAUGAACGUUGGCGGCGUGGAUUAGGCAUGCAAGUCGAGCGAGAAGGUUUCUUUUGCUUGCAUUAGAAACUGGAAAGCGGCGAAAGGGAGAGUAACGCGUAGAAUACCUGCCCCGAGGUCUGGGAUAGCGGGGGGAAACCGCCGGUAAUACCAGAUAAUGUUUCCGAACCAAAGGUGUGAUUCCGCCUCGGGAUGGUUCUGCGUCCUAUUAGCUUGUUGGUGGGGUAACGGCCUACCAAGGCAAUGAUGGGUAGCGGGCGUGAGAGCGUGGCCCGUCUCACUGGGACUGAGACACUGCCCAGACACCUACGGGUGGCUGCAGUCGAGAAUCUUCCGCAAUGGACGAAAGUCUGACGGAGCGACGCCGCGUGCGGGAUGAAGGCCUUCGGGUUGUAAACCGCUGUCAGUGGGGUGGAAAUGUAUUGAGGUUCUCCUCUUUACUUGACCUAACCGCAGAGGAAGUCCGGGCUAAGUACGUGCCAGCCGCCGCCGUAACAC